rnacentral:tRNA from 4 species
CGGGGCAUAGCGCAGUUUGGUAGCGUACCACACUGGGGGUGUGGUGGUCACAGGUUCAAAUCCUGUUGUCCCGACCA